rnacentral:rRNA from 1 species
CGUAACAAGGUUUCCGUAGGUGAACCUGCGGAAGGAUCAUUAACGAACGUCAGGGUCCAACGGGCCCGACCUUCAACCCUUUGUGUAUCUGUCCACGUUGCUUCGGCGGGCGUGGGGUUCUCCCUUGGGGGGGGGCCCUCUCCGCCGGAGACCAGUUUAAACCCGCAUUGUACGUAGCAGUCUGAGUAGAUUAUUAAAUUUAAAAAAAACUUUCAACAACGGAUCUCUUGGUUCUGGCAUCGAUGAAGAACGCAGCAAAAUGCGAUAAGUAAUGUGAAUUGCAGAAUUCAGUGAAUCAUCGAAUCUUUGAACGCACAUUGCGCCCCUUGGUAUUCCGAGGGGCAUGCCUGUCCGAGCGUCAUUGUCAACCCUCAAGCCCUGGCUUGCCGUUGGGUGCCGUCUUUCCUGAGGACGCGUCCAAAAAUCAGUGACGGUCCCGUCUGGCCUCGAGCGCAGUAGGAUCUUUGCAUCAACGCUCCAGGGACCCAGGCGGCGAACCGGUCAACAAAACCCAAAUCUUAAAAAACGUUGACCUCGGAUCAGGUAGGGAUACCCGCUGAACUUAA